rnacentral:rRNA from 1 species
UGAGUAACAUGUAGGUAUCUGCCCUUUGGCCUGGAAUAACACGAGGAAACUUGUGCUAAUACCGGAUAAGUCUUUACGGAGAAAGCUUUAUGCACCAUUGGAUGAGCCCGCACUUGGUUAGUUUGUUGGUGGGGUAAUGGCCUACCAAGACUGUGAUCAAUAGCUGAUUUGAGAGGAUGAUCAGCCACAUUGGGACUGAGACACGGCCCAAACUCCUACGGGAGGCAGCAGUGGGGAAUCUUGCACAAUGGAGGAAACUCUGAUGCAGCGAUGCCGCGUGAGUGAAGAAGGCCCUUGGGUUGUAAAGCUCUUUCGUCGGGGAAGAAAAUGACUGUACCCGAAUAAGAAGGUCCGGCUAACUUCGUGCCAGCAGCCGCGGUAAUACGAAGGGACCUAGCGUAGUUCGGAAUUACUGGGCUUAAAGAGUUCGUAGGUGGUUGAAAAAGUUAGUGGUGAAAUCCCAGAGCUUAACUCUGGAACUGCCAUUAAAACUUUUCAGCUAGAGUAUGAUAGAGGAAAGCAGAAUUUCUAGUGUAGAGGUGAAAUU